GGAAAGGCGCGCGAUACAGGGUGACAGCCCCGUACACAAAAAUGCACAUGCUGUGAGCUCGAUGAGUAGGGCGGGACACGUGGUAUCCUGUCUGAAUAUGGGGGGACCAUCCUCCAAGGCUAAAUACUCCUGACUGACCGAUAGUGAACCAGUACCGUGAGGGAAAGGCGAAAAGAACCCCGGCGAGGGGAGUGAAAAAGAACCUGAAACCGUGUACGUACAAGCAGUGGGAGCACGCUUAGGCGUGUGACUGCGUACCUUUUGUAUAAUGGGUCAGCGACUUAUAUUCUGUAGCAAGGUUAACCGAAUAGGGGAGCCGAAGGGAAACCGAGUCUUAACUGGGCGUUAAGUUGCAGGGUAUAGACCCGAAACCCGGUGAUCUAGCCAUGGGCAGGUUGAAGGUUGGGUAACACUAACUGGAGGACCGAACCGACUAAUGUUGAAAAAUUAGCGGAUGACUUGUGGCUGGGGGUGAAAGGCCAAUCAAACCGGGAGAUAGCUGGUUCUCCCCGAAAGCUAUUUAGGUAGCGCCUCGUGAAUUCAUCUCCGGGGGUAGAGCACUGUUUCGGCAAGGGGGUCAUCCCGACUUACCAACCCGAUGCAAACUGCGAAUACCGGAGAAUGUUAUCACGGGAGACACACGGCGGGUGCUAACGUCCGUCGUGAAGAGGGAAACAACCCAGACCGCCAGCUAAGGUCCCAAAGUCAUGGUUAAGUGGGAAACGAUGUGGGAAGGCCCAGACAGCCAGGAUGUUGGCUUAGAAGCAGCCAUCAUUUAAAGAAAGCGUAAUAGCUCACUGGUCGAGUCGGCCUGCGCGGAAGAUGUAACGGGGCUAAACCAUGCACCGAAGCUGCGGCAGCGACGCUGAUGCGUUGUUGGGUAGGGGAGCGUUCUGUAAGCCUGCGAAGGUGUGCUGUGAGGCAUGCUGGAGGUAUCAGAAGUGCGAAUGCUGACAUAAGUAACGAUAAAGCGGGUGAAAAGCCCGCUCGCCGGAAGACCAAGGGUUCCUGUCCAACGUUAAUCGGGGCAGGGUGAGUCGACCCCUAAGGCGAGGCCGAAAGGCGUAGUCGAUGGGAAACAGGUUAAUAUUCCUGUACUUGGUGUUACUGCGAAGGGGGGACGGAGAAGGCUAUGUUGGCC
rnacentral:rRNA from 1 species